UGCAGUCGAGCGGAUGAGAAGAGCUUGCUCUUCGAUUCAGCGGCGGACGGGUGAGUAAUGCCUAGGAAUCUGCCUGGUAGUGGGGGACAACGUUUCGAAAGGAACGCUAAUACCGCAUACGUCCUACGGGAGAAAGCAGGGGACCUUCGGGCCUUGCGCUAUCAGAUGAGCCUAGGUCGGAUUAGCUAGUUGGUGAGGUAAUGGCUCACCAAGGCGACGAUCCGUAACUGGUCUGAGAGGAUGAUCAGUCACACUGGAACUGAGACACGGUCCAGACUCCUACGGGAGGCAGCAGUGGGGAAUAUUGGACAAUGGGCGAAAGCCUGAUCCAGCCAUGCCGCGUGUGUGAAGAAGGUCUUCGGAUUGUAAAGCACUUUAAGUUGGGAGGAAGGGCAUUAACCUAAUACGUUAGUGUUUUGACGUUACCGACAGAAUAAGCACCGGCUAACUCUGUGCCAGCAGCCGCGGUAAUACAGAGGGUGCAAGCGUUAAUCGGAAUUACUGGGCGUAAAGCGCGCGUAGGUGGUUUGUUAAGUUGGAUGUGAAAGCCCCGGGCUCAACCUGGGAACUGCAUCCAAAACUGGCAAGCUAGAGUACGGUAGAGGGUGGUGGAAUUUCCUGUGUAGCGGUGAAAUGCGUAGAUAUAGGAAGGAACACCAGUGGCGAAGGCGACCACCUGGACUGAUACUGACACUGAGGUGCGAAAGCGUGGGGAGCAAACAGGAUUAGAUACCCUGGUAGUCCACGCCGUAAACGAUGUCAACUAGCCGUUGGAAUCCUUGAGAUUUUAGUGGCGCAGCUAACGCAUUAAGUUGACCGCCUGGGGAGUACGGCCGCAAGGUUAAAACUCAAAUGAAUUGACGGGGGCCCGCACAAGCGGAGGAGCAUGUGGUUUAAUUCGAAGCAAC
rnacentral:rRNA from 1 species